UAUUAACGAAAGUUACAAAAGAAUUAUAUUUUGUUGGCAAAAAUUUUCUGUUCUGAGAAGCAAUAUGGCGACCGAUAUUGAUUGGUUGGGGACGAGUUUUUAUUGAAUCGAUUACGUCACGCCGUGAAUAGCCGAAAAUUGAAAACAUUUGCGACAUUAAAUGUGUAAGUGGUGCAUUCAGCUUGAGAUGAAUGUUGGUCGAUGAGUAUUGAUGCUAGGAUGUGUUCCAAUCUGUUCGAAUCGACCGAUUCAGUUUUUUGUAAGAACCCUCAAAGUAUACAAUUGAACGAAAGCAAUUUGACUCAAGAACAGAAAGUUCACAGUCGUUUCGAGAAAAUGCGAACGAGAUCUUUGAAUGCUCCUAGCCCUAUCUAUCACUUCGGACCAUGUGGCCGUAUUAUGAAAAAUUCAGCCAUGGUGAUGACCAUUCAAGAUCCUGCCAGUCAACGACUGACGUGGAACAAACCACCUCUUACUGUUCUAGUGAUUAAGAAAGUCCAUGACACAUCAGUUAUUCAACCAUUUAUUGAUUUAGUAAAAUGGCUCUUAUAUGAAAAACAUAUGGUUGUAUUUGUUGAAGCUUCUGUUCUUGAAGAUGUUCAUCUUCUUAGUAACCAAAUGUUCAUCCCUAUUAAGGAUAAAUUAUCAACUUUCAAAGAAGGUACUGAUGAUCUCACAGACAAAAUUGAUUUCAUUAUAUGUCUUGGAGGAGAUGGAACACUUUUAUAUGCUUCUUCUUUAUUUCAGCAAAGUGUUCCUCCUGUCAUGGCUUUCCAUUUGGGUUCUUUAGGUUUCUUAACUCCUUUUGAAUUUGAUAAUUUUCAAGAGCAAGUCACUAAUGUGUUAGAAGGACAUGCUGCCUUAACAUUAAGGAGUCGACUCAGAUGCAUCAUUGUUCGUAAAUCUGAUGGCAGUGAAAAAAGUAAUAAGCCAUUAACAAAUUUUUUGGUGUUAAAUGAAGUAGUAGUUGAUAGAGGACCAUCACCUUACUUAUCCAAUAUUGAUCUCUAUUUAGAUGGAAAACAUAUCACAACAGUACAAGGUGAUGGAUUAAUAGUUUCCACGCCAACUGGCAGCACAGCUUAUGCAGUUGCAGCUGGUGCAUCCAUGAUUCACCCAAGUGUACCUGCUAUCAUGGUUACUCCCAUUUGUCCUCAUUCAUUAUCAUUUAGGCCUAUUGUUGUUCCAGCAGGAGUAGAAUUGAAGAUAAAAUUAAUUCCAUUCAAGCAGGAUUAUGUAAACAUUGCACAUAGAUCCAGUUAUUUCAAAUGUAUUGUAAAGAAUUUGGAUCAGUUUUCUAAUAAUCAUUAAUUUCUCCCAUUAUAACUAUAAAUAUAUCUUUUUUGCAUCCCUAGUAUACAUAAUUCAAUAUAAAUAAAAUGCUGUAAUGUAUUCAAAUAGAAUUAUUUUUUCCCAAUUAGCUUUGGACUUUGAGAAAUGUUGAAAAAUUCAGUAAUAAAUGAUUUAAAAUGAUAAUAAUUUGGCAAAUAUCCUGGGAUUUCAAGAUUCUAAAUAUAUCUAUAUAGCCUGUAUGGGUCAGUCAUUAAAAUCAGGCUCAUAAAACAAACACCUGAAUUACAAAACCAAAAGUGGAAAGUGAAAGUAAUGCAAAAUUUUUAAACAGUCAAAGAUGAACGGAAUUUAAUUUUUUACUAUAGAUCUCGGUUCCCCCAAAGUCAAAUAAUGUGGCAUGGGUAUCGUUUGAUGGUCGUAAACGACAAGCACUCCAUCACGGUGAUAGUUUAAGAGUGACCACUUCUAUAUAUCCUGUUCCUUCCAUAUGUGCUCAGGAUCAGAUCAGCGAUUG
rnacentral:misc_RNA from 1 species